rnacentral:rRNA from 1 species
AGUGAACGCUGGCGGUAGGCCUAACACAUGCAAGUCGAACGGCAGCACAGUAAGAGCUUGCUCUUACGGGUGGCGAGUGGCGGACAGGUGAGGAAUACAUCGGAAUCUACUUUUUCGUGGGGGAUAACGUAGGGAAACUUACGCUAAUACCGCAUACGACCUACGGGUGAAAGCAGGGGAUCUUCGGACCUUGCGCGAUUGAAUGAGCCGAUGUCGGAUUAGCUAGUUGGCGGGGUAAAGGCCCACCAAGGCGACGAUCCGUAGCUGGUCUGAGAGGAUGAGCAGCAACAAUGGAACUAAGACAAGGUCCAGACUCCUACGGGAGGCAGCAGUGGGGAAUAUUGGACAAUGGGCGCAAGCCUGAUCAAGACAUACCGCGUGGGUGAAGAAGGCCUUCGGGUUGUAAAGCCCUUUUGUUGGGAAAGAAAAGCAGAAGGUUAAUACCCCGCUGUUCUGACGGUACCCAAAGAAUAAGCACCGGCUAACUUCGUG